rfam:Microvirga lotononidis strain WSM3557 genomic scaffold Micloscaffold_13, whole genome shotgun sequence.
UGGCGGGACACCUCUCCCCACCGAGAGGCGCCCAUCUGUAAGGAUGGAUUAC